AAGAAACAGUGGGAAUUCAGAAGAGGAGGAGUAUUUUAGUAGCCUUUGCAGGUAACUGUGGAUAUUGUCUUUUAACGUUACACCAAACUACUUUCUUCACGACAGUCUGCGCGUGAAAGCUAACACCCUAUCCAUGAACUUCUCUUACUCUUAAAUUCCAUUGCCCUGUCUUGAAAUUUGAACGCAUCUUUUACUAGGCAUGAUUUGUAACAUCAUUCGUUCAUCAUCUGGAAAACCAAUGGUGCACUGAGUUCUUCAGAUCUUCUGACACAUUUUUAAAAGAAGACAUUUGCUAUUACCACUAAUCUCAGAAAAGUCUGUCUUUUGAGAACCUGGUAAGCUCUCAGGUAGAUUCGAAUUUCCUGAAAUUCUGUUUUUUUGUUUGAAACCUUCAGUUUUAUCACUGGUGACAAAUGGGAAAAGAUCUGCCAAAUAAGCAAGUCUGAAUCAACAUAGUAUGCCAGUUGUUCUUUCAAAUAAAAAUGGUGUUCCAUGAGAAAAGAAGCUACUUGAGUUUGUAUUGCGAAGUGUCCUCAAGAUAGCUAACUGCUAAAACUGUAGCUGAAGCACUUUCAAAUGUACUUCCUGUUUCAUUACACAGGAUAUUGAAAAGGCUUGUAUUGAAGAGUCAAAUUUUACUCCUGUGUCAGGACAUUGCGCAGUGCAAUUGCACGGUGGUGGUUUUCUUCACUGUGGGUGCUGUCUGGUGCCAGUCUCGAGUCAUGGACACUUUUACCCACCUUUGCACCAUCAGUGCAAAUGCCCCAACACUGAAAAAGGAAAAUAAUGUCUCGGUAUUACUGUGGAAAUCAUUUUGACCUUGUGGACUCUCACAGCAAGUUUCUCAGAACCUUCCUCCAGGAAACCAGGGACCACACUUUUAGGAAUCACUGUUGUAAGCCAUGUGUUCGCUUAUAUUAAGAACUCUUGACUACCCUGUCUCUUCACACUCCUGAUGUUAGAAACAUAGCCUUUUACGAGUGUAAAGCACAACAUAAACGCCACAGUGAAGUGUGAUUAGAGAGCAGACAAUAACAACCCCACUUACCUUAGGAGAAGAAAUCUUUACGUAUACUAUAAUGGGGGCCAAGGAAGUUUUACUAAGUUGAGCUGGAUGAUUAAUAGUAUCUGCGUCAAGGACUACCAGUUGCAAUGUUCUUGCAAGUUCAAAAAUCCUUUCGAUUUCACUCUGAACUUCCGCUGUAAAAGGUGAAGCAGAGUUCAAUUAAAGUAUUUUUAGACCCAAUAGAAAUAAAGUAAAAUGCUACACUGUUUCUUCACCUGGAAGGCAGGUAGGACAGCCAGUAGGUUAAUGUUCAUAGGCAACAGAGCUGAUAAAAGGUAUCCUUUGGAAAGAGCUGUCUCUCCAAAGUACCUUUAGAAUUGAGGGAAUUCUUUCAACGAGCUAUAAAAUUUGCUUCCGGUAUAACAGUUUGAGUAGGAGAAUCAAAAUAGUUGGCUAUCUGUGCUGACUUACUUUUUGUGCUGUAAAACUUCACUCUGUGAAAUCAUUUCAUAAAAAUGUUGUAAAAUAGAAACAAUGUGUUUGUUUCUGACCACGUUACCAUAGCAACUGUCACCACCUUUCUUUUCACUGUAUCAGCUUAAUCUGUGUUUAUACUGUUACCUAUUGGUAUGCUUUCUGGAUAUGAUAAUCUACAUAAAUGUAUUAGCAAGCUGAAAUACAACAUUAAAAACAGGAGAGACGUUAAUGGUAUCUAUAACAAACUUGUCCAAAAACACACUUUUCAUGGCUUCUACCAACAGACGAAUGGCCCUGCAGUAUUCCUAUUCUAAAAGGGUAGUUCUCCAUUAGAAGCAGCACUACAGGGCACCUGGAUGGCUCGUUCAGUUGAGCAUCCGACUCUUGAUUUCUGCUCAGGUCAUGGUCUCGCGGUUUGUGAGUGCGAACCCUGCAUCUGGCUCUCUGCUGACAGCAUGGAACCUGCUUGAGAUUCUCUCCUUCUGCCCCUCCCUUGCUUGCACUCUCUCAAACAUUUAAAAAAAAAAAAAAAAAAGCAAAAAUCCAAACGAUAAGGUUUAUAGAGAAAGUAUCAACUAAAAAUAUGCUUGAACACCAGGGAAAUUUCAUUCAGUCUGUCUACCCCAUGAUCUCUCUAGAAUCUAAAACAGGAUGUCCAAUAUAAUGUUCUGUGAUGAUGGAAAUAGUCUGUAUCAAUGCUGUCCACCCGAUAGCCGGCCACUGAGCACUCGAAAUGUAGUGUGAAUGAGAAGCUGAAUUUUUAAACUUAAAGUGAAAUAGCCAGAAGCAUAGAUCUGUCAAGCCUAGCAUGCAGCUUGCAGUGUCUACUACAACCAUGAAGGGCAGGUUCCUUGAGACUCCUAGCCCUACAGAAUACCUUUCAAGUCCUCUUAUUUGGUUCUGUGCAGAAGAUUCCUGGAGGUAAUUUCCACUACUGCAGAAAAGAUAAGUCACUAAUCAUCUGCCUCACAACAUGUUAUGACUAGACUCCUUUUAUUCACCCGGAUGUCUUUAAAAUCUGGACUUAAACCACCUGCAAUACCAGCUUUAAAAUAAUAUUCGGUUACAUGCAACUCGUGACAAUCUUGCAGGAAGGAAAAACAAAACCCGAUUAAGCUUCUGGAUCUACCAGUUUAUAAGAAACAGAACAAUUAAAUAAACUACACUAUAAUGCAGUUACCAAACUUUGGACUAUGGAAAACUAUGCAUAAGUGACCCAGACUCUUUAAGCAAAAAGUUACAAGGGGAAAAAAAAAAAAGAUAUAUGGAAAACUAUAGACUAAGAAACUUAAGGACCUUUGAACCACUCACUGUGGACUUUAAUUCGCAUCCUGACUUUAUAUAUUUACAACGCAUAAGUGAAUAAAAUAUAAAAAAUAUAUAUGACAAUUAGGAAAUGAUACAUGGCUGAAUAGAAAUCUCAUGAUACUAGGGAUGUAUUGUUAAGAUAUGAUAAUGGCAUUAUGGUUUAAAUAGAGAGAGUCCCUAAUCUUUAGAUAUAGGUACUGAAAUAUUUACAGACAAAAUCUGUAAUGAUGUCUGGGAUUUGUUUCCAAAUAAUCCAGAGACAGUUGGGGGACAAAGGAGAGGACUGGAGAUGAAACAAGACUGGCCAUGAAUGUCGAAAAGUCCACAUAACGCCCACAACUUGUAAUUCAACAUGUACGGGCAUCACUGGACCAUUCUCCUGCUAUAAGUACCUAUCUCCUAGUGCUACCAUAAGAAAAACUUAAAAUCGCCAGAGAAACCUACCCCUGCGUUUCCCUGGGAGCAAAGACUCAGUAUUUGCUAAUUCAGUGUCCAUGGAGACUUUACUAAGAAUUGACUGCACCUUAAGCCCCGUCCUCUGCUGAGUUCCAGAUCUGUUUAUACAAUCGAUUGCCUGCUGGACAUCUGCGUGCUUCGUAACACUGCAAAUUCAACAUGUGCACAAACGCAGUCAUCAUUUUCCUUAUCCCCCUACCCAGCCCACUACUCCACCAGCCAAGCUCCUCCUCCUGAAUUCCUUCUCCCCAGAAGAACACCACUGAUGACCCAGUUCCUGAAAGCGGAACCUUACAGCUCGUGCUGGAGUCGGCUUCUUCAUGUUCCAGGUUCAACAGAUUGCCAGAUCCCGGCUCUCUUCUCUCUGACUCCUUUCAUUCUAAUCAUUCCCUUCACCCCUGUCUGAUGUCAGUCCUCUUAAUCUCUAAGUUGAAUGAUGAAUGACCACGACUACUAAAUGACCUGACAGGGCAAGAAUUGGACUGAGAGGAGAUGCUUCCAAAGGCACCCGUUUUAUUAGUUUUUGCACGGAGAACAUUAUUUUUCCCUGAAACAACCUCAAUCUGAAUUUCCCCUGACUUAGCUCUUGCCCCUUUCCAUUCUCUUCUCCACAAUGCUGUCAGUGGUCCUUCUAAAACACAAGUCCUAUGGCGUCACGUCUGCUUUCCUACACCUUUCUAGCGCAUCCACAAUAAAAGGCCUACAAAGUCCUACAUGAUCAGGCACAGUCUCUCUGACCUCAUCCUCCCAACCCCUGGCCUCUGCUCGUUCCACGUCUGGCUUCCUUGCUAUCCCUUAAACACAUCACACAUACUCCCACCACAGGGCCUUUGCACCUUCAGCUCCCUCUGCCCGAGACCGUCUUUUCACGGGUAGCUUACUGUAAGGCCAGAGAAUUCACAACGUAAGUCAUUCUGCUAAAAUGUUGCUUCCUCAGAAAGGCUCCCCCAACAUCCCCAUGUAAAAAAUCACUCUUCUCAGUUUUUCUCUACCCCUUGGCUCGCCUUUUCUUUCCAGACUCCUGAACCACGGACUUUUAUAUCUGCUCACUUUUGUCCAUGUGUUCCUUAUGAAAUAAAAACUGUGAGAGUGAGGAGUUGGUGUCCUUUACAUCUGUGUCCCCAGCACUUACAAUAAUGCCUAGCACAUGGUUGGUACUCAAGUAUUUGUUAAAUGGAUGAAUAAAUGCCUAAAACCUAUGAUACAUGGUUCCAUAAUGCCUUAAGGGUAAGCUCCAAAUCCCUUAAUAUCUCUCCUCUGCUUCUCUGUGUCAUCUCCCACCUCCCUCUUUUAAACCAUACACUCACAGCUAAGGUAAAGAACAAUGUUGUCCAGAAGCUUCUCUUCACUCUCACUCUAAGUCCCUAUCAUCCUCUCUACCUCUUUCCCUCCUUUUUUUUUUUUUUAAGUUUCAUUAAAAGUUUUGAGAGUGAUGGCAGGGGGAAGGGAUGGGAGAGAAUUACGAGCAUGUUCCGCACUGUCUGCUCAGAGCUCACCAUGGGGGUUGAUCCCAGAACCAGUGCUCUAUUACCCAAGUGUAGUCAGUGAGGGUUUUUUAGGUGAGGAACCAAACUGAGUUUUCUAAGGUAUUCUACAUAUUACUAACAGAUAGUUUAUUAUUUUUAAUAGUUUCUCUAUGAUUUAUAUAAUAAUUUAUAUAAAGAUCUCAAACUCUCAGGGGCAC